rnacentral:rRNA from 1 species
GCUUAACACAUGCAAGUCGAGCGAGAAUCGUUUUGCUGAAGGCUUCGGUCCGAUGCAGAAUGAGGAAAGCGGCGAACGGGUGAGUAACGCGUGGGCAACCUGGCCUUAAGAAAAGGAUAGCCCCCGGAAACGGGGAGUAAUACUUUAUGAGAAUAGAAAAGGGCAUCCUGUUUCUAUUCAAAGCGCAAGCGCUUAAGGAUGGGCCCGCGUAUCAUUAGCUAGUUGGUGAGAUAACAGCCCACCAUGGCAACGAUGAUUAGCCGGUCUGAGAGGGCGAACGGCCACAUUGGAGCUGAGAGACGGUCCAAACUCCUACGGGAGGCAGCAGUGGGGAAUAUUGCGCAAUGGAGAAGAACUCUGACGCAGCAAUACCGCGUGAGCGAAGAAGGUCUUCGGAUCGUAAAGCUCUGUUAUCAGGGAAGAAGAAAAUGACGGUACCUGAUGAGCAAGUCCCGGCUAACUACGUGCCAGCCGCCGCCGUAAGAC